rnacentral:rRNA from 1 species
GACGAAGGAUGCAAGCGUUAUCCGGAUUCAUUGGGUUUAAAGGGAGCGUAGGCGGCCUUGUAAGUCAGUGGUGAAAUCUCUGGGCUUAACCCAGAAAUUGCCAUUGAUACUGCAGGGCUUGAGUACAGUUGCCGUUGGCGGAAUAUGACAUGUAGUGGUGAAAUACAUAGAGAUGUCAUAGAACACCGAGGGGGAAACCAGUCGACUGGGCAUCUACUGACGCUGAGGUGCGAGAGCGUGGGGAGCGAACCGG